rnacentral:sRNA from 1 species
GAUGAGAACCUCCGGGGGCAAGAGGUUCGACUCGAGCGCAGCGAGAGAACGUUGCUUCAGCAACGGCCCGCAGGGCGAGCCACGCAGUGGCGAGUCAUCCUCUAUCACCGACCA